CCUACGGGUGGCAGCAGUGAGGAAUAUUGGUCAAUGGGCGCAAGCCUGAACCAGCCAAGUAGCGUGAAGGAUGACGGCCCUACGGGUUGUAAACUUCUUUUAUGAAGGAAUAAAGUGAGGCACGUGUGACGUUUUGUAUGUACUUUAUGAAUAAGGAUCGGCUAACUCCGUGCCAGCAGCCGCGGUAAUACGGAGGAUCCGGGCGUUAUCCGGAUUUAUUGGGUUUAAAGGGAGCGUAGGUCGGUUGUUAAGUCGGCUGUGAAAGGUAGUGGCUCAACCGUGGAAGUGCAGUUGAUACUGGCAGGCUUGAGUACGGUUGAGGGAGGCGGAAUUCGUGGUGUAGCGGUGAAAUGCUUAGAUAUCACGAAGAACUCCGAUUGCGAAGGCAGCUUACUAAACUGCCACUGACGUUGAUGCUCGAAAGUGUGGGUAUCAAACAGGAUUAGAUACCCCGGUAGUC
rnacentral:rRNA from 1 species